CCAACAGGGAUUGCCCCAGUAACGGCGAGUGAAGCGGCAAAAGCUCAAAUUUGAAAUCUGGCCCUUUCAGGGUCCGAGUUGUAAUUUGCAGAGGAUGCUUCGGGUGCGGCCCCGGCCUAAGUUCCUUGGAACAGGACGUCAUAGAGGGUGAGAAUCCCGUCUUUGGUCGUCGGCCCGCGCCCGUGUGAAGCUCCUUCGAAGAGUCGAGUUGUUUGGGAAUGCAGCUCUAAGCGGGUGGUAAAUUUCAUCUAAAGCUAAAUAUUGGCCGGAGACCGAUAGCGCACAAGUAGAGUGAUCGAAAGGUUAAAAGCACCUUGAAAAGGGAGUUAAACAGCACGUGAAAUUGUUGAAAGGGAAGCGCUUGCGGCCAGACUCGGGUGCGGGGUUCAGCGGGCGCGUGUCGCCCGUGCACUCCCCGUUUCCCGGGCCAGCAUCAGUUUCGACGGCCGGUCAAAGGCCUCUGGAAUGUGUCGUCUCUCGGGACGUCUUAUAGCCAGAGGUGCAAUGCGGCCUGUUGGGACUGAGGAACGCGCUUCGGCUCGGAUGCUGGCAUAAUGGCCGUAAGCGGCCCGUCUUGAAACACGGACCAAGGAGUCUAACAUCCACGCGAGUGUUCGGGUGUCAAACCCGUGCGCGCAGUGAAAGCGAACGGAGGUGGGAGCCUUAGGGCGCACCAUCGACCGAUCCUGAAGUCUUCGGAUGGAUUUGAGUAGGAGCGUGGCCGUUGGGACCCGAAAGAUGGUGAACUAUGCCUGAAUAGGGUGAAGCCAGAGGAAACUCUGGUGGAGGCUCGCAGCGGUUCUGACGUGCAAAUCGAUCGUCAAAUUUGGGCAUAGGGCGAAAGACUAAUCG
rnacentral:rRNA from 1 species